UACGAAGGGGGCUAGCGUUGUUCGGAAUUACUGGGCGUAAAGCGUGCGCAGGCGGUUGUGCAAGACAGAUGUGAAAUCCCCGGGCUUAACCUGGGAACUGCAUUUGUGACUGCACGGCUAGAGUGUGUCAGAGGGGGGUAGAAUUCCACGUGUAGCAGUGAAAUGCGUAGAUAUGUGGAGGAAUACCGAUGGCGAAGGCAGCCCCCCUGGGAUAACACUGACGCUCAUGCACGAAAAGCGUGGGGGAGCAAACAGGG
rnacentral:rRNA from 1 species